rnacentral:rRNA from 1 species
AACGAACGCUGGCGGCAGGCUUAACACAUGCAAGUCGAACGCCCCGCAAGGGGAGUGGCAGACGGGUGAGUAACGCGUGGGAAUCUACCGUACCCUACGGAAUAACGCAUGGAAACGUGUGUUAAUACCGUAUACGCCCUACGGGGGAAAGAUUUAUCGGGGUAUGAUGAGCCCGCGUUGGAUUAGCUAGUUGGUGGGGUAAAGGCCUACCAAGGCGACGAUCCAUAGCUGGUCUGAGAGGAUGAUCAGCCACAUUGGGACUGAGACACGGCCCAAACUCCUACGGGAGGCAGCAGUGGGGAAUAUUGGACAAUGGGCGCAAGCCUGAUCCAGCCAUGCCGCGUGAGUGAUGAAGGCCCUAGGGUUGUAAAGCUCUUUCACCGAUGAAGAUAAUGACGGUAGUCGGAGAAGAAGCCCCGGCUAACUUCGUGCCAGCAGCAGCCGCCGUAA